UACAGAGGUCUCAAGCGUUGUUCGGAUUCAUUGGGCGUAAAGGGCGCGUAGGCGGCGGGGUAAGUCGGGUGUGAAAUCUCAGAGCUCAACUCUGAAACUGCACUCGAUACUGCUCUGCUUGAGGACUGGAGAGGAGACUGGAAUUCACGGUGUAGUGGUGGAAUGCGUAGAUAUCGGGAGGAACACCAGUGGCGAAGGCGGUUCUCUGGGCCUGUACUGACGCUGAGGAGCGAAAGCGUGGGGAGCGAACAGG
rnacentral:rRNA from 1 species